GACGAACGCUGGCGGCGUGCUUAACACAUGCAAGUCGAACGGAAAGGCCCUGCUUUUGUGGGGUGCUCGAGUGGGGCAAGGGUGUGUAACACGUGAGUAUCCUGCCCUUGACUUUGGGAUAUAUUCUGGAAACUGGGGUUAAUACCGGAUAGGUUCUCCGGCUGCAUGGUGGGGGUUGGUAAGUUUCGGCGGUUGGGGAUGGACUCGCAGCUUAUCAGCUUGCUGGUGGGGUAGUGGCUUUCCACGGUUUUGACGGGUAGCCGGCCUGUGAGGGGGACCGGGGUCCUUAGUACUCAGUCACGGCCCAGACGCCUAUGGUAGGCAUUAGUGGGAAGCAGUGCAAAAUGGGCGGAAGCGUGAUCAAGCAACGCCCCGUGCGGAAUGCUGGCCUUCGGGGUGUAAACCUCUUUCGCCUUUAACGAAGCGUAGGUGACGGUAAUGGAUAAAGAAGCACCGGCUAACUACGUG
rnacentral:rRNA from 1 species